rnacentral:rRNA from 1 species
AGUGAACGCUGGCGGCAUGCCUUACACAUGCAAGUCGAACGGUAACAGGUCUUCGGAUGCUGACGAGUGGCGAACGGGUGAGUAAUGCAUCGGAACGUGCCAUUGAGUGGGGGAUAACGUAGCGAAAGUUACGCUAAUACCGCAUAUUCUCCCCGGAGGAAAGCAGGGGAUCGUAUGACCUUGUGCGCCUUGAGCGGCCGAUGUCGGAUUAGCUAGUUGGUGAGGUAAAGGCUCACCAAGGCUACGAUCCGGAGCGGGUCUGAGAGGAUGAUCCGCCACACUGGGACUGAGACACGGCCCAGACUCCUACGGGAGGCAGCAGUGGGGAAUUUUGGACAAUGGGCGCAAGCCUGAUCCAGCCAUGCCGCGUGAGUGAAGAAGGCCUUCGGGUUGUAAAGCUCUUUCAGCCGGGAAGAAAACGCAUGGGUUAAUACCCUGUGCGGAUGACGGUACCGGAAUAAGAAGCACCGGCUAACUACGUGCCAGCCGCCGCCGUAA